GGUCUCAUAGCUCAGCGGGAGAGCGUCCGCCUCACACGCGGAAGGUCGCUGGUUCGAUCCCAGCUGGGACCACC
rnacentral:tRNA from 1 species